AUUGAACGCUGGCGGCAUGCCUUACACAUGCAAGUCGAACGGCAGCACGGGAGCAAUCCUGGUGGCGAGUGGCGAACGGGUGAGUAAAGUAUCGGAACGUGCCCAGUCGUGGGGGAUAACGUAGCGAAAGUUACGCUAAUACCGCAUACGAUCUAUGGAUGAAAGCGGGGGAUCGCAAGACCUCGCGCGAUUGGAGCGGCCGAUAGCAGAUUAGGUAGUUGGUGGGGUAAAGGCUCACCAAGCCGACGAUCUGUAGCUGGUCUGAGAGGACGACCAGCCACACUGGGACUGAGACACGGCCCAGACUCCUACGGGAGGCAGCAGUGGGGAAUUUUGGACAAUGGGCGCAAGCCUGAUUCAGCCAUGCCGCGUGCAGGAUGAAGGCCUUCGGGUUGUAAACUGCUUUUGUACGGAACGAAAAGGUUUGGCCUAAUAAGCUGAGCUCAUGACGGUACCGUAAGAAUAAGCACCGGCUAACUACGUGCCAGCAGCCGCCGUAA
rnacentral:rRNA from 1 species